rnacentral:rRNA from 1 species
AUUGAACGCUGGCGGCAGGCCUAACACAUGCAAGUCGAGCGAGCGGGGGACGGGUGAGUAUUGUGUGGGGAAUGCCCGAUAGAGGGGGGUAACUACUGGAAACGGUAGCUAAUACCGCCUACUAUCUGAUAACACAUAUGGGAUUAGCUAGUAGGUGUGGUAGAGGCUCACAUAGGCGACGAUCCGUAGCUGCACUGAGAGGAUGAUCAGCACAACUGGGACUGAGACACGGUCCAGACUCCUCCGGAGGCAGAAGUGGGGAACAUUGCACAAUGGGCGCAAGCCUGAUGCAGCAAUGCCGCGUGUAUGAAGAAGGCAUUAGGGUUGUAAAGUACUUUCAGUCGGGAGGCGUUACCGGAAGAAGAAGCAACGGCUAACUCCGUGCCAGCAGCCGCGGUAAUAC